rnacentral:lncRNA from 1 species
CAUCAAUCAUCAUGAAAGGAGAUAGUGAAGUAAAGGGAAAAUAAUAACAGAAUAAUGAAAAAAAUACCACAAAACCAAAAAUGACUAACUUCACAUUGCUAUGAUUGCAAUACAGUCAUCCUUCGCUACUUUGUGGUUAAUUUAUCGCGGCCUCAGUACAUCGCGGAUUGUUCAAAAAUUCAAAAUUGAGGAAUUAUGGCACGAAAGUUGCCCGCACACCAGCAGAAGGCAGGGAGUGCCCACACAAUUCAAAAUCCACAUCUCUGAUUGGCUGCUAGCAUCCCGCCAUUUGAUAUCCCUCCCAACUCGGGAAUCUUGCAAGCUGAUUGACCUAGACAGUUUCCCCCACCUUUGCUCUCAUACCCAGCGAAGACGACCACACUCAUUUGAAUAAAAGAGUUCUAAAAACAUUUACAGUAUGUACACUUUAGUUACAUCUACGUAUGUUACACACACAUAUCAUAUUUAUAUCAUUUAUACAUUAUGUAUGUUAUUUAUACUAUUAAUAUUUUAUUUACAUGUUUGAAACUAUUCUUUAAUGUUCUAAUGAUAACAUAUGCACUUAUAUGGUUUCAUAUACACUUAUUGAUAUUAUACAUACACAAAAAAUGUACG